GGGUUAAGUCCCUCAACGAGUGCAACCCUUGAGCAGAGUCGCCAGCACUUCAAGGUGGACACUUUAGAAUGACGGCCGGUGACAAACCGGAGGAAGGCGCGGAUGACGUCAAAUCAUCAUGCCCCCUAUGACCUGGGCUACACACGUACUACAAUGGCUGGUACAACGGGCUGUGAAGGAGCGAUCCAGAGCGAAUCCUAUAAAGCCGGUCUCAGUUCGGAUUGGAGGCUGCAACUCGCCUCCAUGAAGUCGGAAUUGCUAGUAAUCGCGGAUCAGCAUGCCGCGGUGAAUACGUUCCCGGGUCUUGUACACACCGCCCGUCACACCACGAGAGUUUACAACACCCGAAGCCGGUGGGGUAACCGCAAGGAGCCAGCCGUCGAAGGUGGGGUAGAUGAUUGGGGUGAAGUCGUAACAAGGUAGCCGUAUCGGAAGGUGCGGCUGGAUCAC
rnacentral:rRNA from 1 species